rnacentral:rRNA from 1 species
UACGUAGGGGGCUAGCGUUGUUCGGAAUCACUGGGCGUAAAGCGCGUGUAGGACGGAGUCGUUAAGUCGGGGGUGAAAUCCUGAGGCUCAACCUCAGAACUGCCUUCGAUACUGGCGAUCUUAGAGUCCGGGAGAGGUGAGUGGAAACUCCUAGUGUAGAGGUGAAAUUCGUAGAUAUUAGGAAAGAACACCAGUGGCGAAGGGCGGCCUCACGUGCC